CGUUGUUGGGGCGACUGUUUCAGGCGACCUUCAAUGCCGCCAAACAGGUGCGCACUGACACCGCGAUCGGUGAAAACCCGGUAUCAGUGGC
rnacentral:tRNA from 1 species